rnacentral:rRNA from 1 species
AUACGAAGGGGGCUAGCGUUGUUCGGAAUUACUGGGCGUAAAGCGCGCGUAGGCGGAUUGGCCAGUUAGGGGUGAAAUCCCAGGGCUUAACCCUGGAACUGCCUCUAAUACUGCCAGUCUUGAGUUCGGGAGAGGUGAGUGGAAUUCCUAGUGUAGAGGUGAAAUUCGUAGAUAUUAGGAAGAACACCAGUGGCGAAGGCGGCUCACUGGCCCGAUACUGACGCUGAGGCGCGAAAGAGUGGGGAGCAAACAGGAUUAGAAACACUUGUAGUCC